CAGCGCCACAAGUGGCGAUCACGUUUAUUGGGCCUAAAGCGUCCGUAGCCGGUUUGAUAAAUCUUUUGUGAAAUUGUUAGGCUCAACUUAACAACGUGCAGAAGACACUGUCAAGCUAGGAACCGGGAAGAGUCAGAAGUAUUAUUGGGGUAGCGGUAAAAUGCUAUAAUCCUUUUAAGACUACCGAUGGCGAAGGCAUCUGACUAGAACGGCUUCGACGGUGAGGGACGAAAGCCAGGGGAGCAAACCGGAUUAGAUACCCGAGUAGUCC
rnacentral:rRNA from 1 species